UUUUACACUACAUUUUAUGGUUGGCUAUAAUUUUUAAACAAAGCAAAUAGGCAGCUGGUGGACAGGUAUUAACCAGGCAGCAGUCAGCUUCUAUCUUGAAAAGGCUGGUUCAGCUGUCAAGGAAUAAAACUGAACCAAGGGGGAAAGGAGCAUUUAUUCCCAGCAGAAAAGAGAGGAAGGCUGAAAUGAAGGAUUUUCUGCAACGACAGCACUCCCCAGGCAGCAAACCCACCUCUGAGUUUCCAGCAAACCUACCAGGACUACAAGCCAAACCAAUCAAGUAAUGUCACAGUGUAUUUACUCACCUAGUAACCUGCUGACCCAUUCCCUCUCUGGCCCAUGCUAGUGGCUCACAAGGGUGCACCCCAGUGCUGUGUGCUGGGAAGGGGCACAGCUGUGAGCCCAGGUGGGGCAAGGUGACCAAAUGGCUCCCAACUCCCACUCUCCAUCCAUCACUGCGUGGAAAGGGGUGCUGGAGAGAAGCCUGUGUUGGGAACAGAGGUGCUUGGGGGUUGUGCCAGUCCUUUGUGCUGGCUGCCCUCAAUGAGGCAGAAAAUUAAUUGUAAAGAGCAACUCACACACACCUGUCUGCAGCUGAAGAGCAGCUUAUGUCAGAGAUCACCUAGACUUGACUGCUGUCAAAUACUGGCUGUAAGUGAGAUGGGUUUUCUGAAUGCCGUGUUUUAUUUGGUGACAUAUCCUGAACCUUUGGGAAGAGGUUUUUCAAAUAAGCUUUUCUCAAGCUUUUCGCAGGUGUCUUUUUUUUUUUUUUUCCUUUCUUUCUUUCUUCUUAUAAAGAGUAUUAGGCUAUCACAGCAUUGGAAAUGCUGAUAAAUUUGGUGUAAAAGUCUUGUCUGCUAUUCCUUUCCCCUUCUAGUGUUCAUCUCUUCACUGUCCUCAGGAGCAUGUCCUGCCCACAGUUACUCUGUUAACUUGUCCCUGCUCAUAAGACCCUGCACAAAACCCACAACUGGGCGCUUUUCGCUCUGAUUAAAAUCAUGCUGUGCAAUAGGAAAUACAAAUUAGCUCUGGCCUUUGGGGUCCUGACAAGUUUCCAGCACUGCUUUCAGCACCACGCAGAUUGUGUAACUCCAUCCGUGCGCCCUCCGUGUGGUGACGUCUCCCCCUCCGUCAUGAGCUGGGCUGGCUGCCGCACAUCCAGGUUCAGCUGUUAAUACUUCAAGCAGCUUUUAGAACUGAAGGAGGAAGCGAGAUUGCCAGCAGCCUUGUGAAAUGUGGAAAACAGCUUUUCCUUGCUAGGAGACAAUGUGGGAAGGGGCAAAAAGAGGGGGUUUUCCUAGGUAAUUCCCCAAAUCUUGAUGUUUGUGCAAAUACCUCCCUGUCUAUUGAGCAAUUUGGGAGCUCAGCACCAGGACAGCCAAUGCUUCAGUACAGGAUUAAUCUCUGAAAGAAGAGCACAGUAGCAUCUUACACAAACUGUGGCUUAAGUUUGCCUUACCAUGAAGCACACAGCUUCCUACCUCCUCCAGGGAUUCAAACCGGGCAACUGUUACAUCAUUUCAGCCUUGCUAACAGAAGGGCUGAGGCAGCAGCUACCGUGUCAUGUUUUCAGCAGAAACCUUUAAGUCUCGACGACUUCCUCUAAGGAUGCUGAAGCAAACACUGCCCUGACCUGCAAGUGAACAAGUUACAAAUGACAUCUCUGGUUUGAAAUGCCUCAGUUGCUGCUGGGCCAUCUCUCUGUCUGCUGAGUAUCAUCUCUGGUGCUUAUAUAACCAGCCUUGCCCUGCUGGGUGAGAGCCACCAUCCUCAGACUGAUGACUGUGAGUACUCCCCUCCUCCCAAGAGGCAAGUAGGCAUAUUUGUGGGUAUCUCUAUGUGGUUCAGACAAAAGACCCAGAAAAUGUCCCUUUCUCCCUUCUGGCAACCUCCCUGCCUUGCUCCCCCUUCUUUAUCCUCCCUUUAUGCCAUGCACAGCAUAUGGCAUGUGCUUUGGGAGAAACGCAAGGCUAAGUAUGGGCUUUGGAUGCUUUUAUUUUGCAAUGGUGAGUGCUCUCUUUUCCCAUAUCCUCUUUGCUGAUAUGCAGUGUGCUAGUAGUCAUGUCCUUGAUAAGAAUGGAUUUCCUGCUAAGACCCUCCCCUGUAAUCAUAGCCCAGCAUCCUGGAGCCAGCAAUAAACCAUUUUCCCCUGCUGAUAGCAGCCCUCAGCCCACCCUGGACCUUGCUGAAGAUCUGUGAAUGGCUAGAGAAUAACAGAGUAGUGGAUGGAGGAUGUUGCAGAGCAAAGUUUGUCUGUGAC